rnacentral:rRNA from 1 species
GACGAACGCUGGCGGCGUGCUUAACACAUGCAAGUCGAGCGGAAAGGCCCUUUCGGGGUACUCGAGCGGCGAACGGGUGAGUAACACGUGAGUAAUCUGCCCUUGGCUUUGGGAUAACUACCGGAAACGGUGGCUAAUACCGGAUAUGACCAUGCUCGGCAUCGGGUGUGGUGGAAAGUUUUUUUCGGCCAGGGAUGUGCUCGCGGCCUAUCAGCUUGUUGGUGGGGUAAUGGCCUACCAAGGCUUCGACGGGUAGCCGGCCUGAGAGGGUGACCGGCCACACUGGGACUGAGACACGGCCCAGACUCCUACGGGAGGCAGCAGUGGGGAAUAUUGGACAAUGGGCGGAAGCCUGAUCCAGCAACGCCGCGUGAGGGAUGACGG